CGGCCAGUGUUGCGUAAUGUGAGAACGGCUGUCACAUCCCAUGCAGUUGCACACGAUGCGGGUUCGAUUCCCGCCUGGCCGG
rnacentral:tRNA from 1 species